rnacentral:rRNA from 1 species
GGGACACGUGGUAUCCUGUCUGAAUAUGGGGGGACCAUCCUCCAAGGCUAAAUACUCCUGACUGACCGAUAGUGAACCAGUACCGUGAGGGAAAGGCGAAAAGAACCCCGGCGAGGGGAGUGAAAAAGAACCUGAAACCGUGUACGUACAAGCAGUGGGAGCACGCUUAGGCGUGUGACUGCGUACCUUUUGUAUAAUGGGUCAGCGACUUAUAUUCUGUAGCAAGGUUAACCGAAUAGGGGAGCCGAAGGGAAACCGAGUCUUAACUGGGCGUUAAGUUGCAGGGUAUAGACCCGAAACCCGGUGAUCUAGCCAUGGGCAGGUUGAAGGUUGGGUAACACUAACUGGAGGACCGAACCGACUAAUGUUGAAAAAUUAGCGGAUGACUUGUGGCUGGGGGUGAAAGGCCAAUCAAACCGGGAGAUAGCUGGUUCUCCCCGAAAGCUAUUUAGGUAGCGCCUCGUGAAUUCAUCUCCGGGGGUAGAGCACUGUUUCGGCAAGGGGGUCAUCCCGACUUACCAACCCGAUGCAAACUGCGAAUACCGGAGAAUGUUAUCACGGGAGACACACGGCGGGUGCUAACGUCCGUCGUGAAGAGGGAAACAACCCAGACCGCCAGCUAAGGUCCCAAAGUCAUGGUUAAGUGGGAAACGAUGUGGGAAGGCCCAGACAGCCAGGAUGUUGGCUUAGAAGCAGCCAUCAUUUAAAGAAAGCGUAAUAGCUCACUGGUCGAGUCGGCCUGCGCGGAAGAUGUAACGGGGCUAAACCAUGCACCGAAGCUGCGGCAGCGACGCUUAUGCGUUGUUGGGUAGGGGAGCGUUCUGUAAGCCUGUGAAGGUGUGCUGUGAGGC